UAAAAGGUUCUUUUGGCAACUUGUAUAGAAUUAAAAAGAACCACAACUAUUCCAUGACAAAAGCCAU
rnacentral:ncRNA from 1 species